rnacentral:rRNA from 1 species
GCGUUGUCCGGAUUUAUUGGGCGUAAAGAGCGUGUAGGCGGUCAGGUAGGUCAGCUGUGAAAACUCGAGGCUCAACCUCGAGACGUCGGUUGAAACCACCUGGCUAGAGUCCGGAAGAGGAGAGUGGAAUUCCUGGUGUAGCGGUGAAAUGCGCAGAUAUCAGGAGGAACACCGGUGGCGAAGGCGGUGGUCUGGGCCGGAACUGACGCUGAGGAGCGAAAGCGUGGGGAGCGAACAGG